rnacentral:rRNA from 1 species
UAGUCAUAUGCUUGUCUCAAAGAUUAAGCCAUGCAUGUCUAAGUAUAUACUCUUGUACGGUUGAACUGCGGAUGGCUCAUUAAAUCAGUUAUAGUUUAUCGAUGGUCACUUACUACAUGGAUAACCGUGGUAAUUCUAGAGCUAAUACAUGCGUAAAUCCCGAAAGGGAGUGCUUGUCUGAUUGAGAACCAAUACGGUUUCGGCCGUUUUCUGGUGAAUCAGGACAAAAGAACGAAGCGAUCUUCGGAUCGCUGCAUCAUUCGAGUUUCUGCCCUAU